AAUUACGAGCCCCAUGGAAAAGUUUUUUUUUCCUUAUGUUUGUGUGU
rnacentral:sRNA from 1 species